rnacentral:rRNA from 1 species
AUUGAACGCUGGCGGCAUGCUUUACACAUGCAAGUCGAACGGUAACAGGCCGCAAGGUGCUGACGAGUGGCGAACGGGUGCGUAAUGCAUCGGAACGUGCCCAGUCGUGGGGGAUAACUACUCGAAAGAGUAGCUAAUACCGCAUACGAUCUAUGGAUGAAAGCGGGGGACCGUAAGGCCUCGCGCGAUUGGAGCGGCCGCUGUCAGAUUAGGUAGUUGGUGGGGUAAAGGCUCACCAAGCCAACGAUCUGUAGCUGGUCUGAGAGGACGACCAGCCACACUGGGACUGAGACACGGCCCAGACUCCUACGGGAGGCAGCAGUGGGGAAUUUUGGACAAUGGGCGCAAGCCUGAUCCAGCAAUGCCGCGUGCAGGAAGAAGGCCUUCGGGUUGUAAACUGCUUUUGUCCGGAACGAAACGGCUCUGGUUAAUACCCGGGGCUAAUGACGGUACCGUAAGAAUAAGCACCGGCUAACUACGUG